UGAGCAUCAAUGAUGAUUUUCUUUCUUUGUUAUCCUUGCACUUUGAUGGCCAGUGAAGAAAAUUACGGGGAAUAUUUUGUCUGAGAUGCUC